rnacentral:rRNA from 1 species
GUAGGUGGCAGGCGUUGUCCGGAAUUAUUGGGCGUAAAGCGCGCGCAGGCGGUUCUUUAAGUCUGAUGUGAAAGCCCACGGCUCAACCGUGGAGGGUCAUUGGAAACUGGAGAACUUGAGUACAGAAGAGGAAAGCGGAAUUCCACGUGUAGCGGUGAAAUGCGUAGAGAUGUGGAGGAACACCAGUGGCGAAGGCGGCUUUCUGGUCUGUAACUGACGCUGAGGCGCGAAAGCGUGGGGGAGCAAACAGGAUUAGAUACCCUGGUAGUCCACGCCGUAAACGAUGAGUGCUAAGUGUUAGGGGGUUUCCGCCCCUUAGUGCUGCAGCUAACGCAUUAAGCACUCCGCCUGGGAGUACGGCCGCAAGGCUG